GCCACACUGCACUGAAACACUGGUACCCAUAAGAUCAUUUCACUGAAGUUAAGCAAUUUUGAGUCUGGCCAGUACCUAGAUGAGUGACUGCUUGGAAAUACCAGGUGCUGUAAG